CAAACUGCCGGUCUACUCCGAUAAUGCUCUAUAACUGCUUACCUUGGUUACUGACUGUCCCUAGAGCAAGUGGUAAAGGGCUUAGUGGUUGAUACCCGAGUUACCAAGUUCGAAUCCUAGUUGAUUCACAUUUACAGCUAAGUUAUUUCUACAUAAAAUAAACGAAGCUUGACGGUUUACAAGUUAAUUUAAAUAUUUAAGAAUAUGAAUUUGAAAGUUUAAAAGCUUAAGAAUGAGAAUAAGAGGUUA
rnacentral:lncRNA from 1 species